GUCAAAGUGACUCCAAUAGAUGAAUAGAGCCGGCCACUGGAUUCCUGGAGGAAAGGCUGCGGAACGUCAGGAAGCGGCUGAGAUCAACCAGCAGGUCGCAGAGCACGGCACAGACACAACCACAAACGCCAGAUGAUGGCGCUCUAGCAAGGGCUCUCAUACCAGAAUGUACCAUAUCAGACGAACGUGGGUCACAGCUUAAAGAAUGGUUGGGAAAUAAUUCUCAGCCCCUCAGCCAGAUAGAGAACUACAUGCCGAACACAGCAGUCUACAGGGCCAAGUGGAUUAGGGACAACAAUUGGACCAUCGAUCAGAUCCUCGAAAGAGUUCCCUCACCUAAUGACCAAAGGCAUGAUUGCACAGGCUUGUCCUGCAUGGGGAUGCUGCAUCAAAGUUGUUUGAAACUUGGUAACGUGAAAUGCCAGGAGGGGAGUCUAAAAUGGUAAAGUUUAUUCAAAGUAGAAUACUUGCUUGCAAGUAGAGCUAAUGGCUCUUAAUAGCAGCUUUUUAAUAGGAAUUUGAAUUUGUUCACAAUAGACCUGUUGAAUGUUCAGCCAGUUCAUUCGUAAUUGUUGUUUUGCUCUGAA